CCAAGUGAUCGCCUUGACGCUUGGAGAACAAGAAGCUCUGUAGGUACUCAAGGAAUCGCUGUAGAUGAUGGAGUGGUAUGUUUUGGUGUUGAUGCUGAGCUUGCCAAGCUUGAGUCAGGCAGAUUGUUCAGAGCAAUGCAUGAGAUGCGCGCAACAGAUCUCCGACCUGGACUCUGCAGUGAACCGCUUGACUUGCACUUUAGAAUGUGAAGGAGCCG